rnacentral:rRNA from 1 species
CUACGGGAGGCAGCAGUGGGGGAUAUUGCACAGUGGGCGAAAGCCUGAUGCAGCAACGCCGCGUGAGUGAAGAAGGCUUUCGAGUCGUAAAACUCUGUCGUAUGGGAAGAAAAAAAUGACAGUACCAUACAAGAAAGCCCCGGCUAACUACGUGCCAGCAGCCGCGGUAAUACGUAGGGGGCAAGCGUUAUCCGGAAUUACUGGGCGUAAAGGGUGCGUAGGCGGUUUACUAAGUCAAGGUUAAAAGGCAAUAGCUCAACUAUUGUUCGGCCUUGAAACUAGUGAACUUGAGUAUAGGAGAGGAAAGUGGAAUUCCCAGUGUAGCGGUGAAAUGCGUAGAUAUUGGGAGGAAUACCGGUGGCGAAGGCGACUUUCUGGACUAAAACUGACGCUGAGGCACGAAAGCGUGGGUAGCAAACAGGAUUAGAAACCCUAGUAGUCC